CCAAAGCUGAGGCUGAAACUGGACUGAAAAGGCUCGAUCACCCUUCAUCCGGAGCCUGAACUUUGGAACAGCAAACAGGGACCUGCCUGAGGAUCUAAGGUUGCUGGAGGGCUCGUACGGGGUUAAAAGUUCUGAAAUGCAGCCAGUGAAGGGAAGCUACACCAGGGGUAAUGUGUUCUGGGCCUUCAAAAAAGAUUGAAUGGCUGCUGUGUCUGCCAGUACCAGAUCACCUCUGCACGUCUUAUCACAGGAGCUCUUCCUCUGCAGUCUGUUGGCUACAAUCCACUCCAAAUCACUUUUAACUGUACUUUUUAACCAGGAAACUGCAAAAUGAUCAGCUUAUAAGUUUUGAGUUUAAGCAAAGUUUUGUUCUCUUUUGUUAUUUGAAAUUUUAGCAGCUUGAACCUGUGUCCUUCUAUAAAAACCUAUCUUUAUGCAAUUAUCCAGUCUUGUAGUAGGCCUACCGGGAAGAAAUGUUUGAAAAUAUAGUUACAGGAUUGUGACUACCUGCAUUAAAGGUGCAUUGUGUAACUUUAGAGGGCCCAUCAAAUGCUUGUCUCAUAAAACCACGUGUUUUGAAUUUGAAUAAAUGGAAAGCAGAACUGGUUAAUGUCAUACUGUGGAACAUUCCAGGCAGAACAAUGACAUCCCCACAGAGUAACAUGUUUGACUGAGCCUCCACCAGAAAAGUUACAUAGUGUACCUUUAAAAUGUACAGUAAAACACCCCCCCACACACAGCAGAGUACAUAAGACUACUUUAUGUUUAUUUCAUGGCCUGUUAUGCAUUUAUUUACCUCUGAUUAGAGAAGGAAAAAUCACACAUGCACCACAAGAGCUGUGUUUUGUUUUUUCUCAAUAACACUGUGCAGUUUGAAGUCUCAGUAUGGCUGUAAUUGCUAUAUUGACUUAUUGUUCAAUAAAUCAUAGUUGGAACAAUAAUAUUUGGGAGUCAAUAUUUAGUGUUGGUCCUUUUCCUUUGUAAUUGUGGGGAACUGUUUGUUAUUUGUGUGUACUAC